UUCUUAUCAAGAGAGGUAGAGGGACUGGCCCUGUGAUACCCGGCAACCUUAUUGUUUUCAAUGGUGCUAAUUCCAGCAGGCAUGUAUUUGCUUGACAGAUGAGAA
rnacentral:ncRNA from 19 species